GACGAACGCUGGCGGCGUGCCUAAUACAUGCAAGUAGAACGCUGAAGAGAGGAGCUUGCUCUUCUUGGAUGAGUUGCGAACGGGUGAGUAACGCGUAGGUAACCUGCCUUGUAGCGGGGGAUAACUAUUGGAAACGAUAGCUAAUACCGCAUAACAAUGGAUGACACAUGUCAUUUAUUUGAAAGGGGCAAUUGCUCCACUACAAGAUGGACCUGCGUUGUAUUAGCUAGUAGGUGAGGUAAUGGCUCACCUAGGCGACGAUACAUAGCAGACCUGAGAGGGUGAUCGGCCACACUGGGACUGAGACACGGCCCAGACUCCUACGGGAGGCAGCAGUAGGGAAUCUUCGGCAAUGGGGGCAACCCUGACCGAGCAACGCCGCGUGAGGGAAGAAGGGUUUCGGAUCGUAAAGCUCUGUUGUAAGUCAAGAACGGGUGUGAGAGUGGAAAGUUCACACUGUGACGGUAGCUUACCAGAAAGGGACGGCUAACUACGUG
rnacentral:rRNA from 1 species